rnacentral:rRNA from 1 species
GACGAACGCUGGCGGCGUGCUUAAUACAUGCAAGUCGAACGGGGUCCAUCCCUCCUUCGGGAGGGUGAAGACCUAGUGGCGAACGGGUGAGUAACACGUGAGCAACCUGCCCCAAAGACUGGGAUAACACCGGGAAACUGGUGCUAAUACCGGAUACCCCCAUCUGACCGCAUGAUCGGAUGAGGAAAUGAAUUUCGCUUCGGGAGGGGCUCGCGGGCUAUCAGCUUGUUGGUGAGGUAACGGCUCACCAAGGCAGCGACGGCUAGCUGGUCUGAGAGGACGACCAGCCACACUGGGACUGAGACACGGCCCAGACUCCUACGGGAGGCAGCAGUAGGGAAUCUUGCGCAAUGGGCGAAAGCCUGACGCAGCAACGCCGCGUGGGGGAUGAAGGCUCUCGGGUUGUAAACCCCUUUCAGCAGGGACGAAAUUGACGGUACCUGCAGAAGAAGCCCCGGCCAACUACGUGCCAGCAGCCGCGGUAAUACGUAGGGGGCGAGCGUGUCGGUAC